CAGUCGCCGCGGUAAUACGUAGGGUGCAAGCGUUAAUCGGAAUUACUGGGCGUAAAGCGUGCGUAGGUGGUGGUUUAAGUCCGUUGUGAAAGCCCUGGGCUCAACCUGGGAAUUGCAGUGGAUACUGGGUCACUAGAGUGUGGUAGAGGAUAGUGGAAUUUCCGGUGUAGCAGUGAAAUGCGUAGAGAUCGGAAGGAACAUCUGUGGCGAAGGCGACCAUCUGGGCCAACACUGACACUGAGGCACGAAAGCGUGGGGAGCAAACAGGAUUAGAUACCCGCGUAGUCCCUGUCUCUUAUAC
rnacentral:rRNA from 1 species